UACAGAGGUCCCAAGCGUUGUUCGGAUUCACUGGGCGUAAAGGGUGCGUAGGUGGGUUUGCAAGUUCGAUGUGAAAGCCCCGGGCUUAACCCGGGAAUGGCAUUGGAUACUGCAGAUCUGGAGGAUCGGAGGGGGGACUGGAAUUCUUGGUGUAGCAGUGAAAUGCGUAGAUAUCAAGAGGAACACCAGUGGCGAAGGCGAGUCCCUGGACGAUACCUGACACUGAGGCACGAAAGCUAGGGGAGCAAACGGG
rnacentral:rRNA from 1 species